rnacentral:lncRNA from 1 species
AUUGCUCUUUUGGACCUUUGGAGUGUCCUUUUGAGGUUGAGGAUAGUGUCAGCUCGCUUGUCCAGCUUGUGCUUAAUUGGACCGUUUAUUAGCUGUUUCAAGGGUAUUUACAACAGGUUAUAAGCCCCGCUUGACCUUGCCGUGGCUGCAGUGGCUGCGCUUUGCUGGCUUGCACGCUUUGAUCUUGAGUUUGAUUCCUACGUGAUUUUUGGGGGAAAUGUCUAUCUCCGACAUUGCUGAUUGGGGGGAAGUGUUGAAGAUCGCCAACUCGGCGGAUUGGUUUAUGAAAAUGAAGGCCAUCUUGGAGUGCGAAGAUAUGUCAUCGGUCAUCGCUCAAGAUUACCGAUUACCUGCAGAUCCUACAGAGCGGGAGAAGGAGUUGAAGAAGAUCAGGAAGGCGCGGGCGCUCAUCAUCCUGCGUCUUACGGCAGUUGACCACAAGACAAUCAUCGACUCCACAACAGAAGCUAAGGAUCUUUGGGCGGGUCUUGAGGAGUGGGCUGCGCAGCUAAAUGAGGCCGAACUGAAUGCGGUAGCCCUGUCGUUUCAGUCGUUAGUAAUGAGGAAGGAUGAACAAGUGAGCGAUUACAUGACUCGUGCUGUGAACCUGUACGAGAAGUUAAAUAGGUACAAAGAUUAUCGCGUUUCUGAGAAGUACGCGAUUGUGCAGAUCGUUCGUGGCUUGCCCGACAUCUUGUACGAAACUAAGAAGCGAGUGUUUGUCACGCCCGUGUAUCCGAAGGACUUUAAGGAGCUCAAGGAGAAGCUGUUGGCUAUGGAGGCCAACCGUUUGACUGCCAGGAGGACCGAGCCCGACAUCGCGACGGAAUUGUACACCGGACGCGGUGGCCAGAAGGUUGGCUGCUUCAUCUGCGGCGCCAACCACUUCGCUCGGGACUGCCCGAAGAAUGGCAGCGCUUCUGCGCUAUCGGGCUUGGGUCGCUCGUACGGUGGUUCUAAUUUGCGAUGCAAGUGGUGUGGGAAGACCGGACAUGUAGUGGAUAGGUGCUUCCGGAAGAAGCAGGAACUGCCUAAGAAUAUUGACGCAGGGGUUGUCGCGCUCACCCUGGUCGCACGAGAGAAGCAGUUUGUCUUGUAACCGUUGUGCGAAGAAAGGCAAUUAGAUCAUUAUGCGCAACCUCCCCCCAAGAGCCCAUGGGCCGAGCGCAUUUCAUCGAUCAGCUGCAGAGGAUUGUUGGUCAAUACCCCGUGAACCCGUGGUGGCUGGAUUCCGGUAGUAAAUACCAUAACACGGGGGACCGGAGCGUUCUGCUUAACUAUCGUCGGCUCUAUCCUGGCGUGUCCAUUUCGAUCAAAGUGGGCAAUGGAAAAGUGCUACGAGCAGAAGUCCAUGGGGAUGUGGUGACGACCCUUGCGCCUAUUAUUACGAUGAGGGUGUUUUCUUCGUGCCACAUUGUAUACAUAAUUUGAUCUCUGCUCCGUACUCGUCAGGGCUUCAGAGUUAGUUUUUGAGGACACGCAGACGCUUGUGUCGAGAGAAGCUGUGCACAUCACGGUCACCAAGUGUGCAUCUGGUCUCCCUAGGUUGAUGAGCAGUGCUGUCCCUGCUGUUGAGUCCUCCGAGCCUGCUGAGCCUGUUGUCCCUUAGCUUUCUGCCAAGGUUCCUGAUACUGAGAUGGCUGAAUUGUGGCACCGUCGGCUUGGUCAUUUGGGAAUCAUGGAUAUGAAAAGGUUGGCGCAUGAAGGCAUGGUUAAGGGCUUGAAUAUUAGUGCUGUCCAGUUGCGAGAUUUUGAGAGUAGGGCAUGUGAGCCUUGUUUGACGGGCAAGUAUGGCCGUGGUCCGUUUCCCACGCCUGAAGCAGUAACAAAGAGACCGUGACAGUGUUUAGAUGUCUGUGCGCCCUGUGAGCCUGUUUCUACUAGUGGACAUAGGUACUUUGUCACAUUGCUAGAUGAUUACACUAGGGGGAUUCAUUAGUACAGUCCAUGAAACCCUAAAACCCUACAGUCCAUUAAACCCUAAAACCCUACAGUCCAUUAAACCCUAAAACCCUACAGUCCAUUAAUAAACCGGAUGUCCCGGAUUUUAUUGAGAGGGCUGUUAACUUGCUACAGGCCCUAAGUAGCUCCAUUUUGCAGUGCACGAGAACGGAUGGCGGUGGCGAAUCUUUGAACGCGCGAGUAAAGUGGCCGGGCACAUCUAGUUGUGAAGACGUUUUCAGGAGAUGGAUGGAAUUCGAAGAUGGAGAAACGCGUGUGUGUCCACUGUGGGAAAACCUGUCGGCCGCAGUGUAUGCGCAUGCCAUGGGGGACAGGACAGUGAUAUUUGUUCGUUUUGCAUGUUGCUCCACGAGUUAGCAUUCAGGUUGAAGCCUGUUGCCCUUUCCGUUUUGUCAUGGCAUGUUUUGCAGGCGCUCUCCUGCACAGUAGAUGCAACGGACCAGAAAACGUUCCGUACAAAUGUUGUUCUUUUAGCUUUGCUGUGUUACACAGUGUUAAGAUCUUAGUUGGGGUGCUGUCACCGCAGAUGUACGGUGCUGGGUUUCUGUUGAGCCUUUGCAACCAGCAGUAAGGACAUACAUGUAUGAUGAUGAGCGUAAGCACGUCCCAACAUGUUGUGUGGCAGGUGUCAUGGGUCUAAGGAGCAGGUUGAAUGUGAGGGGCCUUACUCGCACACACACACACACACGUGCGAAUAGCGUUGGUCGGGUCACAAAGCGAAAUUGCAGUGCCUUUGUAACUUCAUAACUUGUUCAUGCUCGCGGUCCACAAAGUUCAGCUCAGAGCCUCGCAACUUCCCGCGGUCCCAACGCAUUUCCGUAAAAGACGUUGGUCGUUGCACCAAAUAAUUUUAAUAAUACCCAAGAUUAUGUAAACCACAAAUAAAACGAAAUGGUUACAUGUGACAUGUUCUUGUGCUUCAUGUUUUGACCAUAGGGCGCGUCAUAGAACUGCAAGAACACUGCCCGCCUGUAGGCCCGAAUGCACUGCAACAUUACAGAAAUAGAAACCUUUCAAAACCAUGCUUACAAAUCUCCAAAAUACUACACCAUCAAGGAAAUCGCUGCCUUCUAGUAAAAGGAAAAUUAGGGCCGGUCACCCGUGAACAGUACCUCAAGUUAAAAACCAGAGCUGUAAGUUUUUUGUAAGUUAAAAUAAUUACAGUUUGAAUGUUUACCUUUACUGGUUUUCGCAAGGAAAGCUGUGACGAUGGUGAUGAUGAAGUCUUCUACAUCUAAGAUGUAGAUGUAGAUGAUGAGGAUUUACAAGCUUCAGCGAGAUCAUACGGUUCAGACGAACUUGAGCUUCAUGAACCGCCUCGAUCUGGCAAAGAAGAACGAGAAAAUGAAAGCUGCGCGCUCAUGCCGACCUGUGUACGGCGCGCCAUCCACGCACCCGUCUUUUUAUGACGUACAGGUACU